CAAGACCUUGCGCUAUUGGAGCGGCCGAUGUCCGAUUAGCUAGUUGGUGAGGUAAAGGCUCACCAAGGCGACGAUCGGUAGCUGGUCUGAGAGGACGACCAGCCACACUGGGACUGAGACACGGCCCAGACUCCUACGGGAGGCAGCAGUGGGGAAUUUUGGACAAUGGGGGCAACCCUGAUCCAGCCAUGCCGCGUGUGUGAAGAAGGCCUUCGGGUUGUAAAGCACUUUUGGCGGGAACGAAACGGUCUGUGCUAAUACCACGGACUAAUGACGGUACCCGCAGAAUAAGCACCGGCUAACUACGUGCCAGCAGCCGCGGUAAUACGUAGGGUGCGAGCGUUAAUCGGAAUUACUGGGCGUAAAGCGUGCGCAGGCGGUUUCGCAAGUCAGAUGUGAAAUCCCCGGGCUCAACCUGGGAACU
rnacentral:rRNA from 1 species